rnacentral:rRNA from 1 species
AUUGAACGCUGGCGGCAGGCCUAACACAUGCAAGUCGAGCGAGCGGCGGACGGGUGAGUAAUGUAUGGGGACUGCCCGAUAGAGGGGGAUAACUACUGGAAACGGUAGCUAAUACCGCAUACAAUCGGAUAACCCAUGUUGGAUUAGCUAGAUGGUGAGGUAAUGGCUCACCAAGGCGACGAUCCCUAGAUGGUCUGAGAGGAUGAUCAGCCACAUUGUGACUGAGACACGGCCCAGACUCCUACGGGGGCAGCAGGGGGGAAUAUUGAACAAUGGGCGCAAGCCUGAUGUAGCCAUGCCGCGUGUAGGAAGAAGGCCCUAGGGUUGUAAAGUACUUUCAGUCGUGAGGCGUUACCGACAGAAGAAGCACCGGCUAACUCCGUGCCAGCAGCCGCGGUAAUAC